CCUAUUUGUUUUUAAGCAGCUCCUGUCCCCGCCCCCCUCCCAUAGCCCCUGUGCAUCUCUACACAACACUUGUGCCCCUACCACUGCUCCUGCCCCUCUCUACUGCUCCUUUCCCCCUCCAUCCCUGUGCCCACCUCUACAACCACUGCUCUUUUCUACAGCAGCUGUGCCUCCCUCUACGGCCCCUGUGACACCCCCACAGCUCCUGUCCCCCCUCAUCACAGCUCCUGACCCCUCUUGGCCCCUGUUCCCCUUUCU